GGUAGCCGGCCUGAGAGGGUGUCCGGCCACACUGGGACUGAGAUACGGCCCAGACUCCUACGGGAGGCAGCAGUGGGGAAUAUUGCACAAUGGGCGCAAGCCUGAUGCAGCGACGCCGCGUGGGGGAUGACGGCCUUCGGGUUGUAAACCUCUUUCAGUAGGGACGAAGCGCAAGUGACGGUACCUACAGAAGAAGGACCGGCCAACUACGUGCCAGCAGCCGCGGUAAUACGUAGGGUCCGAGCGUUGUCCGGAAUUACUGGGCGUAAAGAGCUCGUAGGUGGUUUGUCGCGUUGUUCGUGAAAUCUCACAACUCAAUUGUGAGCGUGCGAGCGAUACGGGCAGACUGGAGUACUGCAGGG
rnacentral:rRNA from 1 species